rnacentral:rRNA from 1 species
ACGUGAGCAACCUGCCCUGGACUCUGGGAUAAGCGCUGGAAACGGCGUCUAAUACUGGAUAUGAGACGUGAUCGCAUGGUCAACGUUUGGAAAGAUUUUUCGGUCUGGGAUGGGCUCGCGGCCUAUCAGCUUGUUGGUGAGGUAAUGGCUCACCAAGGCGUCGACGGGUAGCCGGCCUGAGAGGGUGACCGGCCACACUGGGACUGAGACACGGCCCAGACUCCUACGGGAGGCAGCAGUGGGGAAUAUUGCACAAUGGGCGGAAGCCUGAUGCAGCAACGCCGCGUGAGGGAUGACGGCCUUCGGGUUGUAAACCUCUUUUAGCAGGGAAGAAGCGAAAGUGACGGUACCUGCAGAAAAAGCGCCGGCUAACUACGUGCCAGCAGCCGCGGUAAUACGUAGGGCGCAAGCGUUAUCCGGAAUUAUUGGGCGUAAAGAGCUCGUAGGCGGUUUGUCGCGUCUGCUGUGAAAUCCCGAGGCUCAACCUCGGGCCUGCAGUGGGUACGGGCAGACUAGAGUGCGGUAGGGGAGAUUGGAAUUCCUGGUGUAGCGGUGGAAUGCGCAGAUAUCAGGAGGAACACCGAUGGCGAAGGCAGAUCUCUGGGCCGUAACUGACGCUGAGGAGCGAAAGGGUGGGGAGCAAACAGGCUUAGAUACCCUGGUAGUCCACCCCGUAAACGUUGGGAACUAGUUGUGGGGACCAUUCCACGGUUUCCGUGACGCAGCUAACGCAUUAAGUUCCCCGCCUGGGGAGUACGGCCGCAAGGCUAAAACUCAAAGGAAUUGACGGGGACCCGCACAAGCGGCGGAGCAUGCGGAUUAAUUCGAUGCAACGCGAAGAACCUUACCAAGGCUUGACAUACACCAGAACGGGCCAGAAAUGGUCAACUCUUUGGACACUGG